GGCAGCACUGGGGGUAAGGUAGAACGCAUGAAUGGCACUCUGAAAGCCAGAAUGCUUAAAAUGUCCCAAGAAACUAACCUACCCUGGCCGGAGAGUCUUCCCAUAGCAUUGUUUAGUAAAAGGUACACCCCAAGAGGGAGGUUUAGCUUAUCCCCCUACGAAAUCUUAUUUGGAACAGCACCCAGGUUAGGCUGUUAUUUUCCU